AGCGAACGCUGGCGGCAGGCUUAACACAUGCAAGUCGAGCGGGCCCUUCGGGGUCAGCGGCAGACGGGUGAGUAACACGUGGGAACGUACCCUUUGGUUCGGAAUAACGCUGGGAAACUAGCGCUAAUACCGGAUACGCCCUUUUGGGGAAAGGCUUGCUGCCGAAGGAUCGGCCCGCGUCUGAUUAGCUAGUUGGUGGGGUAAUGGCCUACCAAGGCGACGAUCAGUAGCUGGUCUGAGAGGAUGAUCAGCCACACUGGGACUGAGACACGGCCCAGACUCCUACGGGAGGCAGCAGUGGGGAAUAUUGGACAAUGGGCGCAAGCCUGAUCCAGCCAUGCCGCGUGAGUGACGAAGGCCUUAGGGUUGUAAAGCUCUUUUGUCCGGGACGAUAAUGACGGUACCGGAAGAAUAAGCCCCGGCUAACUUCGUG
rnacentral:rRNA from 1 species